GACGAACGCUGGCGGCGUGCCUAAUACAUGCAAGUAGAACGCACAGUUUAUACCGUAGCUUGCUACACCAUAAACUGUGAGUUGCGAACGGGUGAUUAACGCGUAGGUAACCUGCCUGGUAGCGGUGGAUAACUAUUGGGAACGAUAGCUAAUACCGCAUAAUAUUCAUUAUUGCAUGAUAAUUGAUUGAAAGAUGCAAUUUCAUCACUACCAGAUGGACCUGCGUUGUAUUAGCUAGUAGGUGAGGUAACGGCUCACCUAGGCGACGAUACAUAGCCGACCUGGGAGGGUGAUCGGCCAAAAUGGGACUGAGACCCGGCCCAGACUCCUAAGGGAGGCAGCAGUAGGGAAUCUUCGGCAAUGGACGAAAGUCUGACCGAGCAACGCCGGGUGAGUGAAGAAGGGUUUCGGAUCGUAAAGCUCUGUUGUAAGAGAAGAACGGGUGUGAGAGUGGAAAGUUCACACUGUGACGGUAUCUUACCAGAAAGGGACGGCUAACUACGUG
rnacentral:rRNA from 1 species